CAUGCUCACCCUUCCUAAGUUACCUGCUAUAAGGAUCUCAGCUGAGAGUCAGAGAAAAUGUUCAAUGGCCUCCUAAACUGGAACAGCCAUUAAUUUGUGAUGGUAUUAGCAGUACUACAGGUUGGUCGAGUGAGUCCUGGUCCAGCUUAGAAGCUGACAAUCUGUAAUGAGUUGUAACAGAAUAAUUUCUACAGUUUUCCAUAUUCUUUUCCAAUAAGAAGUAAAUGCACUGAAACUAAAGGCCCAGAGACGACUUAUUGCUGUUAUAUGGUUUAUUUCUGUUGAAUCAGGGGCCCUAGUGAGAUACAAGCACAGAAAAAUGUCUUAGCAAAUCUGAAAACCUGUAUCUGAACUAUGGCCUGAGAGAACAUAUAUUAAGUUCAAUCAAUCCAAUGCCUUCUGAAAACUGCUGGAAGAAAGAUUAUCCUCUUCCAGGCUGAUAACACAGUUCUGAAAACUUAACUGGGAAUGUCACUGAAAUCCAAACCAGUUCUCAGGGACUCAAAGAAAAGAAGUCUAUCAGAAAGUCUGAGCAUGCACCAAAUGAAAAAAAAAAUCAGGAGUUAUUUAGAUUGGAGUAAAUUUUUUUUUUUUUUUUGAAUUGUCAAUGAAAAAAGAGCCAGCUGAAGUCAUGUCAUCUGUAAUUUGCUUUUUUGAAAAUCCAGGCUUCCAUCUUCUCUGUGCUGUAUGACUGUCCACCCUCCUCCAGCAAUUUCCAUAUUGCAAAAGACCUAUGCAACAAUUAAAAUAAAAUUAAAAAAUUAAAAC